AGGGAAUAUUGCGCAAUGGAGGAAACUCUGACGCAGCGACGCCGCGUGAGCGAUGAAGGUCUUCGGAUCGUAAAGCUCUGUCCUCAGGGAAGAAGAAAGUGACGGUACCUGAGGAGGAAGCCCCGGCUAACUACGUGCCAGCAGCCGCGGUAAUACGUAGGGGGCAAGCGUUGUCCGGAAUUAUUGGGCGUAAAGGGUGCGUAGGCGGCUUUUUAAGUCAGAUGUGAAAGACCACAGCUUAACUGUGGAGUUGCAUUUGAAACUGGAGAGCUUGAGUAUCGGAGAGGGUAGUGGAAUUCCUGGAGUAGCGGUGAAAUGCGUAGAUAUCAGGAGGAACACCAGUGGCGAAGGCGACUACCUGGACGAAAACUGACGCUGAGGCACGAAAGCUAGGGGAGCAAAC
rnacentral:rRNA from 1 species